rnacentral:rRNA from 1 species
UACGUAGGGGGCAAGCGUUAUCCGGAUUUACUGGGUGUAAAGGGAGCGUAGACGGCCGUGCAAGUCUGAUGUGAAAACCCGGGGCUCAACCCCGGGAGUGCAUUGGAAACUGCAUGGCUGGAGUGUCGGAGAGGCAAGUGGAAUUCCUAGUGUAGCGGUGAAAUGCGUAGAUAUUAGGAGGAACACCAGUGGCGAAGGCGGCUUGCUGGACGACGACUGACGUUGAGGCUCGAAAGCAUGGGUAGCGAACA